rnacentral:rRNA from 1 species
UGGAAACGAUAGCUAAUACCGCAUAAUAUUGAUUAUUGCAUGAUAAUUGAUUGAAAGAUGCUAUUGCAUCACUACCAGAUGGACCUGCGUUGUAUUAGCUAGUAGGUGAGGUAACGGCUCACCUAGGCGACGAUACAUAGCCGACCUGAGAGGGUGAUCGGCCACACUGGGACUGAGACACGGCCCAG